rnacentral:rRNA from 1 species
GACGAACGCUGGCGGCGUGCUUAACACAUGCAAGUCGAACGGAAAGGCCCUGCUUUUGUGGGGUGCUCGAGUGGCGAACGGGUGAGUAACACGUGAGUAACCUGCCCUUGACUUUGGGAUAACUUCAGGAAACUGGGGCUAAUACCGGAUAGGAGCUCCUGCUGCAUGGUGGGGGUUGGAAAGUUUCGGCGGUUGGGGAUGGACUCGCGGCUUAUCAGCUUGUUGGUGGGGUAGUGGCUUACCAAGGCUUUGACGGGUAGCCGGCCUGAGAGGGUGACCGGCCAAAUUGGGACUGAGCUACGGCCCAGACUCCUACGGGAGGCAGCAGUGGAGAAUAUUGCACAAUGGGCGGAAGCCUGAUGCAGCAACGCCGCGUGCGGGAUGACGGCCUUCGGGUUGUAAACCGCUUUCGCCUGUGACGAAGCGUGAGUGACGGUAAUGGGUAAAGAAGCACCGGCUAACUACGUG